AGUGAAAGCCCGAUCCGCAGUUGAUCGCUUUGCUUCCAGAUGGAGGGGGAGCUGCUCUGAGCGUCUGGAGGAAGCUCUCUGCACUCCAGCUUCGGGGAGCUCGCAACGUCAUCGCAUGCCUGCACUCGGCUUGUCCGCAAGCGCCAGCGGAACUGAGAUUCCUUUCUAUUGAUCCAGCUAUUCCAGUUAUUAUGGAAAUUGUUACACAAUGCCGAGGUGAGGAAAGAUACCUGACAGCAACCCUCGGAGGGGAAUUAAUGCAUUUCAAAGCAAAGGCUUGUAUGUUCCAGAUUUUUUCACAUCAAGAUGAUGAAAAUGUAGUCUCCUUAUGUGACAACAGUCAGAGGAAGAAGUUUCAGAAACAAGAUCAAACUUCAGUGUUACUUUGUAUGGUCUGAAAAUUAUCAAGCAUCUGAAAAUGGGUCAGAGAUCUAACAAUGUAUUCAUGAGGUUCAGAGUUAAUGUUCUGGAGGCACAUUCAUUGCUGGAGCCACAGGUGCCAUGUUAAGUUUUU